rnacentral:rRNA from 1 species
CUGGGCGUAAGCGCGCGUAGGCCGUUGAGUUAGUUAAUUGUGAAAUCCCAAAGCUUAACUUUGGAACUGCAAUUAAAACUGCUCGACUAGAGUUUGAUAGAGGAAAGCGGAAUACAUAGUGUAGAGGUGAAAUUCGUAGAUAUUAUGUAGAACACCAGUUGCGAAGGCGGCUUUCUGGAUCAACACUGACGCUGAGGCGCGAAAGUAUGGGUAGCAAAGAGGAUUAGAUACCCUCGUAGUCCAUACCAUAAACGAUGAUUGCUAGAUGUUGGAAAUUUAUUUUCAGUAUCGCAGCUAACGCAUUAAGCAAUCCGCCUGGGGAGUACGACCGCAAGGUUAAAACUCA